rnacentral:rRNA from 1 species
CCAGACUCCUACGGGAGGCAGCAGUGGGGGAUAUUGGACAAUGGGGGGAACCCUGAUCCAGCGACGCCGCGUGAGUGAAGAAGUAUUUCGGUAUGUAAAGCUCUAUCAGCAGGGAAGAAAUAGCGACCUUUGGGUCGCCAGACGGUACCUGAUUAAGAAGCCCCGGCUAACUACGUGCCAGCAGCCGCGGUAAUACGUAUGGAGCAAGCGUUAUCCGGAUUUACUGGGUGUAAAGGGAGCGCAGACGGCAGGGCAAGUCUGAUGUGAAAGUCCGGGGCUCAACCCCGGGACUGCAUUGGAAACUGUCCGGCUAGAGUGCAGGAGAGGUAAGUGGAAUUCCUAGUGUAGCGGUGAAAUGCGUAGAUAUUAGGAGGAACACCAGUGGCGAAGGCGACUUACUGGACUGUAACUGACGUUGAGGCUCGAAAGCGUGGGGAGCAAACAGGAUUAGAUACCCUUGUA